CAGCAGCCACGGUAAUACGGAGGGUGCAAGCGUUAAUCGGAAUUACUGGGCGUAAAGCGCACGCAGGCGGUCUGUUAAGUCAGAUGUGAAAUCCCCGGGCUCAACCCGGGAACUGCAUUUGAAACUGGCAGGCUUGAGUCUUGUAGAGGGGGGUAGAAUUCCAGGUGUAGCGGUGAAAUGCGUAGAGAUCUGGAGGAAUACCGGUGGCGAAGGCGGCCCCCUGGACAAAGACUGACGCUCAGGUGCGAAAGCGUGGGGAGCAAACAGGAUUAGAUACCCCAGUAGUCCCUGUCUCUUAUAC
rnacentral:rRNA from 1 species